GUGGGGCCAGAUAAGGGAACGAAAGCAGGCCUCCCAAGCCAGGAGCGGCAAACUACUGGGAUCCAUUUCCAUGCUGUGGACUCUUUGUGCUUUGCUCUUUGCAAUAAAUCUUGCUGCUGCUCACUUUUUGGGUCUGCACUACCUUUAUGAGCUGUAACACUCACCGCGAAGGUCUGCAGCUUUACACCUGAAGCCAGGGAGACCACGAACUCAUCAGGAGGAACGAACAACUCCAGACGCGCGGCCUUUAAGAGCUGUAACACUCAACGCGAAGGUCUGCAGCUUCAGUCUUGAAGUCAGCGAAACCGCAAACCCACCAGAAGGAAGAAACUCCGGACACAUCUGAACACCUGAAGGAACAAACCCCGGACACACCAUCUCUAAGAACUGUAACACUCACCGUGAGGGUCCGCGGCUUCAUUCUUGAAUCAGUGAGACCAAGAACCCACCAAUUCCGGACACAGAAGUGUUUGUGGAAUUUAAUUACAAAAACUGAAAGGAGAGAAAACAAGAUGGCAUUGUUGCUAACCUGUGAGAAGUGAUGGGGGCCCUCCAGCUGAAUGCCAGCCCCUGGUGGGCUCAUGGUAACAACAGAGAGGGGAGCCUUCUCUGGGAAGAGCUACCUCCUACUCCAGCCCAGCCGACCAGGCUGGGAUCCACAGAUCCACACUCCAGCAUGCUGAGCGGAGAAAGACUUAUUGUUGAGAAUGUCAGUCAACUGACAUUUUGCCUCCUACUCUCUCUAUCUGAGAGGGGAAUCUGCAUUUUCUAAGCCAGUUGGCAGCAUGCACCACAAACAGCAAUGCACUGCAGGCCCCCGGUAUAGACUCUCACCCUGUGAUAAGUGUGCCAGCUCAGUGGUGCAAAGGUUUUCAGAUACCCUCCCUUGGGCUAUCAUUCCAGUAGGCAGCUCCUCCUCCUCCUUCCCUCUCCCUCACAUACACUGAGCAUCAGGCUCUCCAAGCUCAGUUCUCAACAUAGUUACAAUAACCCAUCCUAGUCAGUGAUGCUUAAAAUUGAACCAUGGUUCAGGGGAGCAGUAGGCUCUCCCUGCGAGCACCCUAAUGUGUUAAACAGCCAUGCCAGGUAGCUGUCUCCUUUCUUGGAAUUAGCUACUUACAGAGACCCUCUGUCAAUGGAAGUUAGUUUUUAUGCAAGUCCUCUAACCCAGCAUUUGAAGGAUAAACAAACUUGCACUUACACAAUUUUC
rnacentral:lncRNA from 1 species